GGGUUGUGAGGUUAAGCGACUAAGCGUACACGGUGGAUGCCCUGGCAGUCAGAGGCGAUGAAGGACGUGCUAAUCUGCGAUAAGCGUCGGUGAGGUGAUAUGAACCGUUAUAACCGGCGAUUUCCGAAUGGGGAAACCCAGUGUGUUUCGACACACUAUCAUUAACUGAAUCCAUAGGUUAAUGAGGCGAACCGGGGGAACUGAAACAUCUAAGUACCCCGAGGAAAAGAAAUCAACCGAGAUUCCCCCAGUAGCGGCGAGCGAACGGGGAGGAGCCCAGAGCCUGAAUCAGUGUGUGUGUUAGUGGAAGCGUCUGGAAAGGCGCGCGAUACAGGGUGACAGCCCCGUACACAAAAAUGCACAUAUUGUGAGCUCGAUGAGUAGGGCGGGACACGUGGUAUCCUGUCUGAAUAUGGGGGGACCAUCCUCCAAGGCUAAAUACUCCUGACUGACCGAUAGUGAACCAGUACCGUGAGGGAAAGGCGAAAAGAACCCCGGCGAGGGGAGUGAAAAAGAACCUGAAACCGUGUACGUACAAGCAGUGGGAGCCUCUUAAUGGGGUGACUGCGUACCUUUUGUAUAAUGGGUCAGCGACUUAUAUUCUGUAGCAAGGUUAACCGAAUAGGGGAGCCGGAGGGAAACCGAGUCUUAACUGGGCGUUAAGUUGCAGGGUAUAGACCCGAAACCCGGUGAUCUAGCCAUGGGCAGGUUGAAGGUUGGGUAACACUAACUGGAGGACCGAACCGACUAAUGUUGAAAAAUUAGCGGAUGACUUGUGGCUGGGGGUGAAAGGCCAAUCAAACCGGGAGAUAGCUGGUUCUCCCCGAAAGCUAUUUAGGUAGCGCCUCGUGAAUUCAUCUCCGGGGGUAGAGCACUGUUUCGGCAAGGGGGUCAUCCCGACUUACCAACCCGAUGCAAACUGCGAAUACCGGAGAAUGUUAUCACGGGAGACACACGGCGGGUGCUAACGUCCGUCGUGAAGAGGGAAACAACCCAGACCGCCAGCUAAGGUCCCAAAGUCAUGGUUAAGUGGGAAACGAUGUGGGAAGGCCCAGACAGCCAGGAUGUUGGCUUAGAAGCAGCCAUCAUUUAAAGAAAGCGUAAUAGCUCACUGGUCGAGUCGGCCUGCGCGGAAGAUGUAACGGGGCUAAACCAUGCACCGAAGCUGCGGCAGCGACGCUUAUGCGUUGUUGGGUAGGGGAGCGUUCUGUAAGCCUGCGAAGGUGUGCUGUGAGGCAUGCUGGAGGUAUCAGAAGUGCGAAUGCUGACAUAAGUAACGAUAAAGCGGGUGAAAAGCCCGCUCGCCGGAAGACCAAGGGUUCCUGUCCAACGUUAAUCGGGGCAGGGUGAGUCGACCCCUAAGGCGAGGCCGAAAGGCGUAGUCGAUGGGAAACAGGUUAAUAUUCCUGUACUUGGUGUUACUGCGAAGGGGGGACGGAGAAGGCUAUGUUGGCCGGGCGACGGUUGUCCCGGUUUAAGCGUGUAGGCUGGUUUUCCAGGCAAAUCCGGAAAAUCAAGGCUGAGGCGUGAUGACGAGGCACUACGGUGCUGAAGCAACAAAUGCCCUGCUUCCAGGAAAAGCCUCUAAGCAUCAGGUAACAUCAAAUCGUACCCCAAACCGACACAGGUGGUCAGGUAGAGAAUACCAAGGCGCUUGAGAGAACUCGGGUGAAGGAACUAGGCAAAAUGGUGCCGUAACUUCGGGAGAAGGCACGCUGAUAUGUAGGUGAAGCGACUUGCUCGUGGAGCUGAAAUCAGUCGAAGAUACCAGCUGGCUGCAACUGUUUAUUAAAAACACAGCACUGUGCAAACACGAAAGUGGACGUAUACGGUGUGACGCCUGCCCGGUGCCGGAAGGUUAAUUGAUGGGGUUAGCGGUAACGCGAAGCUCUUGAUCGAAGCCCCGGUAAACGGCGGCCGUAACUAUAACGGUCCUAAGGUAGCGAAAUUCCUUGUCGGGUAAGUUCCGACCUGCACGAAUGGCGUAAUGAUGGCCAGGCUGUCUCCACCCGAGACUCAGUGAAAUUGAACUCGCUGUGAAGAUGCAGUGUACCCGCGGCAAGACGGAAAGACCCCGUGAACCUUUACUAUAGCUUGACACUGAACAUUGAGCCUUGAUGUGUAGGAUAGGUGGGAGGCUUUGAAGUGUGGACGCCAGUCUGCAUGGAGCCGACCUUGAAAUACCACCCUUUAAUGUUUGAUGUUCUAACGUUGGCCCCUGAUCGGGGUUGCGGACAGUGUCUGGUGGGUAGUUUGACUGGGGCGGUCUCCUCCUAAAGAGUAACGGAGGAGCACGAAGGUUGGCUAAUCCUGGUCGGACAUCAGGAGGUUAGUGCAAUGGCAUAAGCCAGCUUGACUGCGAGCGUGACGGCGCGAGCAGGUGCGAAAGCAGGUCAUAGUGAUCCGGUGGUUCUGAAUGGAAGGGCCAUCGCUCAACGGAUAAAAGGUACUCCGGGGAUAACAGGCUGAUACCGCCCAAGAGUUCAUAUCGACGGCGGUGUUUGGCACCUCGAUGUCGGCUCAUCACAUCCUGGGGCUGAAGUAGGUCCCAAGGGUAUGGCUGUUCGCCAUUUAAAGUGGUACGCGAGCUGGGUUUAGAACGUCGUGAGACAGUUCGGUCCCUAUCUGCCGUGGGCGCUGGAGAACUGAGGGGGGCUGCUCCUAGUACGAGAGGACCGGAGUGGACGCAUCACUGGUGUUCGGGUUGUCAUGCCAAUGGCACUGCCCGGUAGCUAAAUGCGGAAGAGAUAAGUGCUGAAAGCAUCUAAGCACGAAACUUGCCCCGAGAUGAGUUCUCCCUGAGACUUUAAGUCUCCUGAAGGAACGUUGAAGACGACGACGUUGAUAGGCCGGGUGUGUAAGCGCAGCGAUGCGUUGAGCUAACCGGUACUAAUGAACCGUGAGG
rnacentral:rRNA from 1 species